UCAUAUCCGGAGGUGGAGGGAAUGGUGCUGGAGUUACAGACGAGAGGGCUGCCAAGCCAGUGACCAAGACAUUACAACAUUUGUAAAUGUCACGUUUCUAAUGUGUUUCAACAUUUGUAGCCGCCACACAAUUGAUAUUUCGUAGAAACACCCCAGGACAAUUACCAGACACGUUUGUAGCAUCCAAAUGUGGAAUUUUAAGCCAACGGAUGAUCUUUUCCCCAUCUUAACCAAGCCAUAGCAUGAGCAAAGCACUGUUGAUAACAACAUAAACUUGAACACUGAACCAGAAGAAACGUUACAACAUAAAGAAGUGUAAAGUUUCAAAAACAGGACCCAUAUGCCAAUACACGGGCAGAAAAACCUGGAUGACAACAGGGCUGACGUGAGGACGACAACAGACGAAUGAGGGAACAAUUCAGGCUUAAAUACGAAGACUUGCCCACAGGCACCAAAACGAUCAUUUUUUUCCCCCCCCCGCUGUAGUUCACAUUCCAAGCCUCAGGGUGGCGCUUGAAAUUCACCAAAAACGGAGAAUAAAAGACAGAGCAUGCGCAUAAAGCUUGCGCGCUGUUUACAAACAGACAGUAGGAGAAUCCGAAAACAAGAAGAAGACGACGAAAAUGGCUAGUGCAAGGAAACCAGAAGCAUUUGUGUGGAUCGAUAAUGAGGUCGAACUGCUGCUGCGACUCAUACUCAACUACAAUGCGAGUAAGUUGCAAGAAACACGAAAAAUAAGCAGUAGACCGCCAUUGUUGUUGUUGUUGUUGUUGUUGUUGUUAUGAGACGUCGCGGGCUUCAAAGAAGGCUAGCGGUCGAGGGGAGGGGCGAUGGCGUCAUCGUUUGGAAAAGUAUACGGAUUCGCCGUCCACACAAGAACGGGAGGGCUGCGUUUUCGGAUUUUUCCACCCUGAGGCCCCUUCCACACGGGCGAAAACGAUCUGUUUUUCUCCGUCUAUCUCGUCAUCGUUUUAAGAAUAUUUGCGUCCAUACGGCUCCACUGAAAACGACCGAAAACGCUGUAGUUCAUCUUCCAGACCUAUAGGUGGCGCUUGACAUUCACCAAAAACUGAGAAGAAGACAGGGAGCAUGCGCAUUAAGCUUGCGCGCUGUAAACAGACAGUAGACGGAGAAACCGAACACAACAAGAAGCAAAAGAGGAUGAAAAUGGCUAGUGCAUGGAAACCAGAAUCGUUUGUGUGGACGUAAUGAAGUCGAACUGCAGCUGCGACUUACACUCAACUACAAGAGAGAAUUACACGAUCCAGAAAAAAACACAUGAAGUAAAAGAGUUGUUGUCACAUGUUGUUGUGUAAAGCAGCGUUCCUUACACCAUGGACUUCAGAUAAAUAAAUUUGAGCUCAACAAGCUGACUUCUCAGACAACUUUUGCAGCUCAAACAACUAGACAACUGACAUGUGACAACUAGAUGGAUAAAUGUGUGACCCGAUCUGAGAGGUGCUCUGUGUGAGAUCGCAGCUGCAGAAAACAGCCCAGUGACGAUGCCUUCAGGGCCCGUGAAGAGUGCACUUGAAGCAAAUGCCGGGUCUGGAGACAGCCUUGAUGAAGUGGAUGAAGUGCGAAGCUGAUAGCGGCAGUGAUUGGCCAAACACAAGUCUCCCUUUGGUCUCUCUUAAAGGUUAAGAACAGUGUGUGUAAUUUAUGUUUUAUUCAUAUUUCUGACUUUUUGCAAAGAAAUCUUGUUGGAUCUGCUUUGAAAAAAAAAAUCAGAAAUUAGCUGUGAUUUAUUUUGGCCCGCGAGAGGGGAAAAAGUGUAAGGGUGACCACCAAACAGCAUGGUAAAGUACAAUAAAGCAGCUCUGCUCUAGUCUAGCAGAGGGAUAGAGCAGAGCUGCACGACGUGGCUCUCGCCGAGCGAACGCGGAGGAUUAAGUAAGUUUCCCUUUGAGAAAUUAACUACGACACAAACUGGAGAUAAAAACGAAGAGACAGAAUAACGAGGCCUGUUUGCCUAUUCAGAGGGUUUAGCCAUGUAUUAAAAAUCAUACCGUUAAGCUUCCUGACAGAUGCUAAUGAAGUGAUGUUUACAUUUUUGAUUCGCUGCCUAAACAAAGAUAAGACAUGCUCUCGGAAAACAGCAAGCCCCGCAAUCCAAACACAUCCAUUGAGCCUGU